GCCGAGGCCCGAGCACAAUCACAUCUCGUCAGCUCCCCCACUCCACCCACGAUAGCACGUUCUUUUCGGUUACCCCAAACUCGUCCGCUCGCCUGCUCCGUACCACCCGCCGCCGGCGCUACUCCUCGACCCACCACCUUCGUCGGCGCCGCUCCUCAACCAGGCGCCAGCGGCCUCACCAGCCUCGCCGGAGCAGGAUCCCACGCAGCCAAGGGCCGUAACUGCGGAAGUAGCGCAGCACGGUCCACACGGAUGGUGUCGUUCCGGUUGCGGAUCCCGUCCAUCGGCGCACCACGGGACCGAUUCGUUGGCACCUCGUCGUCAUCCAUGCUACCAGCGUCCUGCUCCCUCCUUAGUCCAUGGAAGCGGCGGGCCAUGGUGGAGUGCCCCUGGCUGUCGAGCUGGGAUCCACGGAGGCUGGAGUUGCUGGCUGAUUUUGCACCUAUUCUCACCGCCUCACCGGCACUGACUCCUCCUGGAUCAGGCGUAGUAGGCCUAAUGAUGGAUCAGGCGUAGUAGGCCUAGGGAGCAGCUGAUCCCCACUGUCUGGCUGUAUCGAUGCUUUCUCCCACAACCAAAGAUGGCAUCCAGUUCCCCAGAUCACAAGCGCUUGCCAUCAAAGCAUCCUCAUCCAUCUGCUCUUCAUGAUUGCUCACAUAGGUAGUUUCUUCUACAAUUACUGAUUUCUACAAAGCACCCCAGCACCUUUUCGCAACUCUUUAUGCUAUGUACUUUCUAAACAACAAAAGCCUGCUAAGCACAAUAUGUAUUUACCAGCCUUUAUGUGCAUUAAUUUUUCAGAAUAUGCAGUAUCAGUUCUAGCUGAGUUCACUGGUUAGUUUUUUUUGGUUUAUAUGGAACGAAAUUGUAGCAUGUUCAUGGUCAGAUUACAAUCAGAAUUCUAGGUGUGCUUGAUUUUAAUCUGCUAACUGCAGGGGGAAGAAUAAUUAUAUAGUCAAUUCCAAAGUCAUCUCAGUAUACAUAUGAUGAAAUCAUAAUAAAUGGUUGCAUACUCGUUUUCAAUGAUACUUCUCUCCACCAAGUUCAUGGCUUUCUAUAUCACGUCUUCAAUUUUUGUGUAUGAAUUUUUGACUGCUGAACUUGGUGAUGCUGACCAUGGUGUUCCUCUGCAACGACACUGGCAUCACCUGUGACCAUGCUGGCUGCAUGAGAUUUUGGAGCUCUGGGAUGGCAAGUUCAAGCUGCCGAGCGACCGUCAUGUUGCAUGUGGAGCUAGCCUUGUGCCGCGUCGCUCUAGUGUGUGAAGAUUCGAUCUUUGUGAUCCUAACAUGUGAAUUGUGUUGACAAAAUCUGUGUGUUCAAACUGCAAAAUGCUAGCUUUGAUGACCACUGAAAUGAUCUGGUUUCGCCCUAAUUGUACUCAAGUUGGAAAUUUUAGCUUUUUAUACAUGGUAGAGACAAACCAGCCAUUGAUGAAUGAAACAGAUACUGGUUGUUACGACAACAAGGUGAGAAUGUAAAUUGCUA